AUGAGCCCGGCCAUGAAAGCCUUCGACAACACGUCUCCAAAGUACUUUUCAUUUUGCUUUCUAAUCUUUUCCCCUUCUUUUUUGUGUUUAUGUAUUUCCAGCAAACCCGAAUAUAAGAACACUGUGCUGGAUGUCUUCCAAAUGUCCGGGAUCCCUGCGAAGCCGGCUGAUAAAACUGAAGCCAGCACAGAUUUCAAAGACGGCGGCCUUACGAAAGAGAGCGUCCAAGGGAAGCUUUAUAAAGCAGGGACAUUGGAAGAGACUUACCCGAGGAAUGGGGCAGAAGCCGGAGCCGAUUGCCGUAUGAUGGAAACCGAUUCCAGUGGCACGGAAAUGAACUAUCGCGAGGAAGAGGCCUCAGAAUGUAGUGAUGCCGAAGAGCCUCCAGGAAAACGGAUCAAGUUGGAAUUCCAGCCGGAGAGCCCACCGAAAGAUGAUGAUGAUUCGUUGCCCAGCUCUGAGGAUUCGGACAGCGGCAGCGAAUCUGAGUUGGACCUCCUCCCGCAGCCGAGGGGGGCUUUGGUCAAGAAGGUCAAUGGCUGCAAGGCCAGACGGCGGAAGAGCCUCCACUCCAGCCGCCCCAGCACUUCAGAGUUCGCCUCGGUCAUCCAGACCCAGAAGAGUUUGGCCCCGAAGGCCAACCCAGCACUUAGCAUCAAGUCUGAGCAGGUUCCUGGUGCCAAAGGGGGGCCCUGGAUCUGUCCUACUGCCCCAAAGGGUGGCCCUUACCCUGUGAACAAAGCACUUAACCUGGAGAGGCCCACUCCGAGGCACGCCUCGUCCCAUUUGUACGUCUCCAUCCCUGACUCGGUGCUCACUCCGCCGGAAAUGGAGAGCGGAGCAGUGAAGGGGCCGUUUGGGACCUCUCCCCGGCCCAUUGCGACAAACGCUCCUUCCUCGACAGAGACCCUUUCGCCCCCGCUCUCGGGCUCCCCCUGCGAGGAGCGGGUUGCCUCCACCCCGUUCACCCCGCUGGUCUACCCGGCAGAGAUGGAGGUCCUCCAGCGCUUCCACGCCAGCAACGUGGUGGUGCCACUAGUCCACCAGCUCGGCAGCCCACAUAGCGGCACAGCAGGCUCCCAGGGCCUCUACACCACCAGCACCAUUCGAUACGCCCCUGCCGACAUGACGCUAGCCAUGCAGAGCAAUGUAUUGCCGCCGGCCCAUCCACUCAGCCUCAUGGACCUGGGCGGUGCGGAGGCCAAGACCUCCCGGGAACUCAUGUACCACCACUUGCAGCGGCUGAACAUGGUUGCGCCCUUUGGGAACUCGAUUUCGGGUGGGACGUUCACGGCCACAGACUCCCUCUUUUCCGGACUGCCCUUUUCGGUGGCCAGCAGCGGGCUCCACGGCACUUCAGCUCUGGAACGCAAGGAAGAUUGAGGAUGAUGUGAUCCAUUUGGUGUCUCUGCCAUAGUCAAACUCAAGCGAUAAAAAGGUCUUGCACGAGCUUUGGUACAACGGCUCAGCGCUGUGCCAAUGUGUUCUGGAAACCAGGAGGCAAAAAUCUUUCAUCCUCAAAAAUAAUUAUCUGCCUUCUUGCUGUAGUUCUACAGAGAAGUGUGGACAAAACUACCUUCUCCCUCCUGACCCUUGCUUCGCAGGCCCCCAAACACUCCAAAUGCUGCUGCUGUUUAAAGUGAUGUGAUAUAUGGAGUUCAGGGGUUAACCCAUUGUAAACAGGACAUGGGAUUGGUUGCAACCUUUCCGGGAAAGAUUUUAAGCAGAGGAAACUAUUUGUUGUCCUUCUACUACUACAGGUCCAACUAUUCUUCCAAUACUGCCAUUGGGGAACUGGCCACAGAGUGGUGGAUAGGGAGGCAUUACGUUCAGGCCUUCCUAUGCUAACUACCCUGCCAGCCCAAAUAUAAUAUGUAGAUUACAAACAUAAAACAGGGCGCUGGUAUCCCUGACUCUUCUCGUCCCGUACUCUUACAUCAGCACUUAAAUGUUUGCUUCUGUUCAGUCCACGUUGCCCUGUUCCUUUCAAUGUGCCCCAGAGAAGACAUCCUGCAUUGAGUAUGGAGGGAUGACAAAUAAGGUGGAUGUUGUAAGUGUGUGUGAAUGGGCCCUUAUUCUGUGUCCUUUCUGGCAACACCUCUCCCUUGGGCUCGCACUUUUUGGGAUUAGUUGCUCAUCCUUUUAUCCUUUGGUCGGAAGGGGGGGGGUGACUUACUGCCUUUGCCAGCAACACAUGCUUGAAAUUCUCUAGUGAAAUGUCCAUGUCAGAAUAUUAAUGAUACUUAUCUGGAAGUGAAAGGAUGCAGUGGAGAUGAAACAAAAACUGAAAAGACAGAUGGAUCACAGCUAAGGCCUCUCUGGUCCACUAUUUGGCCAGGCAGAUGCUUCUUGGAAGCCCACAAACAGGACAUGAAGGGCAUCAUCACACCUUCCUAUUCAUGCUCCCUUGAGUCUUAUCAUAGAACCACAGGGUUGGGAGGACCGUCAAGUCCACCCCGCUACUCAAUACAGACUCUCUAGGUAAAACAUUCCUCUCUUGGAAGAUCUCUAAUGGAGGAGACUUCACCACUGCUGUAGGUACUCUAGCUCCAUUUAACAAACUGCUCUUACUGUCAAAAAGUUCCUUCUAAUAAUCAACUGAAAUCGAUUAUCCUGUAACUUAAAACAAGUAGAACAGAUCCUAUUCUCUGUGGAAAUUUUUAAAAGACAUUUGUGUAACUCCUUAGUCUUCUCAUCACCAGGCUGGACAAGCCCAGCUCCUUCAACUUUUCCUUUUCUGUUUCAUUCUCCAUACCUCUUAUAUCCUCCUCUGAAUCGGAUCCAACUUAGAGUUGGAAGAGACCAUGUGGGCCAUCUAGUCUAACCCCUGAAAGAUGGUCAUCCCGCCUCUGUUUAAAAGCUUCUAAGGAAGGAGCUUCCACCACACUCCAAGGCAGAGUUCCACUGUUGAACAGCUUUUUUACAGUUUUUUUUACCCUUCCUCGUGUUCCGGUGGAAUCUCCUUGUCAUUUGAACCCAUUGCUCCUAGUCCUAGUUUCCAGAGCAGCAGAAAUAAGCCUGCUCCCUCUUCCUUUCAUAUAUUUAUACAUGGCUAUCAUGUUUCCUCUCAACGGUCUCUCCUCCAGGCUAAACAGACCCAGCUCUUUAAGACACUCCUCAGAGAGAUUCAUAGUCUCCAGAUCUUUGAUCACUUUUGUCACCAUCCUCUGGAGCCCUUCCAGCUUAGAGUCAAUUGGACAGUGUUAUUCCAAGAGGUCUGACCAAAGCAGAAAAGAAAGGCACCAUGACUUCCCUUGAUAUGGACACUAGGCUCCUUUUGAUGUAGCCCAUUGGCUUUUUAGCUGCUGCAUCCCACUGUUGGCUCAUGCUCAACUUGCCCAUGAAGACUCGAAGAUCUUGUUAAGCCAGGCGUCACCCAUCCUGUAUCUUUGCAUUUCAUUUUUUUCUGCCUAAGUGGUGUAUCUUAACUUGUUAUUGUCCUCCUCAAGACAGGUUGCCCAGGACUCAUGACUCAACAGCAAGCCACUGAUGGAGGUGACCUAUUAAUCGUGACGACCAAGAGCCAUUUCAUCUUCCAUGAAAGUAUUUCAUUCUACCUUGAAAGACUUCCGUGUUGGUUGCAAUCACUGUAUUUUGUGAAUUCCAGAGUUAAGCACAUUCGUUUUAUCUGUCCUGAAGAAUCUCCAACUUAUUUGGGUUUUUUGGAUGACGUUCUCAAAGAAAAAAAGCCAUCUUUUUCUCUGCAUCAAGUGUCAUUUUAAUGUACCUCUUACUAGUUUUCCUAUUCCAAUUAACAGAUAACACCUUUUUUCUCUUUAUUUAUCCAUCAGCAGUGUUUAACUGUUGUCAAACAUGGACGCUUGACCUUAAGUCCUAGAUGUUGGUGAGAGAACAAAUGCUUGCUUCCAUUAUCAUGCCCUGUUUGUGAGCUGCUUGCAGUGUCUGCUUCGCCAUUCCUGGGAACAAACAUUAUCAAGGUUGCUCCUUUUUCUCCUAUCUUUGUGCAGAUUCGUAUCCGCUUUCAGAAGAGAAGUCUAUGUCUUCCCAUCCCACCCUCAUCCCCCUUGGCACAAGAAGGCAGGAGAAGAAAAGGGUGAAAUGACAGCACUUAAAAGGGGUCCUUAUUUUUUAAAUGUAUGCCAUAAUGUUGAGCACUUAUUCAAAACUAAAAAUUGUACAAUUCGGUGGAGAACGGACAGAGUAGCACUUGAAAUGCCGCUGUGGUCUUUAUUUUCUGUAUAAUCGGUCGCUAAAGAUCCGUGUGUGUGUGUGUAUAUUUUAUUUCCCUACUGUUCUCAUUGGAUAGAUGAAUGUAGUUCCCACUCUUCACUUGUUGACGUUUUGCUGCUUCUUUACGGCAAUUUGGGAUUUCAGAGGAAAUAAAGUAUAAAUGGACUCAACUCCUGCCUACCAAACAGAUUUCGGGAGGCCUUGAUAAAUAAUAAUUUGUGGCUUUAAAGACACCAGCUGGAAUUUUAUGUCCAUAAAUGUAGGUUUACAUCAAUUGGAAAUAGAACUGGACACUUUUGUAACAUCAGUAUUCUUCAAGGGACUUCUGUGAUGUUACUACUUAAGGAAACCCGUGAAAUAAAUGUGCAUAAUACCCUCAUACACAUCUCAAUUCAAUAGCAGCACCUCAGCCAAGUGUAUGUAACAUUACAUAACAUAGACCACAAUGUUAAAGCAAUAAAGUAGUGCCCUGAUAAAGGACUGACAUAUAUCAAUUUUUCAAUUAAUUAACAGAAGAUAAAACCAUUUUAAACCCAUCCCCCCCACACACUUUUUGAACACAUGAAAGUCCAUUAAACCAAAAUACACAUUUUUGAGAAAUACACCAUGAUGAAGACACUUAAUUGGCCUUCUCUUCAGUGCUCAAGGAGCGUUUGGAAACCCCAAAAAGACAAAUGCUCUUUUGCUGUAAUAGGAGCAGGAAGUGAACAAUUUGACUUCUCUUUCUAGAUUUAGCUGUCAUUUUAAUUUUUCUACUGGGUUGUUUUGAAGGUGAGGAUGGUGGAGAAAAGCCAGUGCAUUUCACCUAAAUUUUGAGCAAUUCUUGCUAAGGUUGGGCUUUUUCUCUUUUUGUAAAGAGCACCUGAUGGCUUUAUGCUUUGCCCACGCUAUGUGUUUGGGACUUCAUCUCCCAGAAUUCCUCAUCAUUGGACAAAGCUACCCAGGGUCUCCAAACUACGGCUCAUGGGCCGAUUCUGGCCCGUCAAGGUCUUUUCCCCAGCCCUAAACUAGGCUCUCCACUCCAUGUGCCACUAUUUGCCCUCACGUUUGAAUUUUCUUUGGAGCCAGAAAGAAUGAGGAUGCUGUGGGUUUGUGGGUAUUUUUUUUUGUUGUGCCAUAAGUAAGUCAGAUUGAUGGGACAGCAAAGAAAGAAAUUGUGGAAGACAGGAAGAAAAGAAGAGAGGAAGGAAGGAAGGAAAGCGAGAAGAAGAAAGAAGGGGAGGAAGGAAGGAGAAAAAGGAAUUAAGGAGGGGAGGAAGGAAAAAAUGAAAAUUGGAGAGGAGGGAAGUAAGAAAAAGAGGGAUGGAGGAAGGGAUAAUGAAAGAAGAAAAAGGGAUGAAUGAUGGAGGUACAGUAGUCUCACUUAUCCAACACUCGCUUAUCCAACGUUCUGGAUUAUCCAACGCAUUUUUGUAGUCAAUGUUUUCAAUAUAUCGUGAUAUUUUGGUGCUAAAUACAUAAAUACAGUAAUUACAACAACAUUACUGCGCAUUGAACUACUUUUUCUGUCAAAUUUGUUGUAUAACAUGAUGUUUUGGUGCUUAAUUUGUAAAAUCAUAACCUAAUUUGAUGUUUAAUAGGCUUUUCCUUAAUGCCUCCUUAUUAUCCAAUAUAUUUGCUUAUCCAACAUUCUGCCGGCCCGUUUAUGUUGGAUAAGUGAGACUCUACUGUAGUAAAGGAAGAAGCUAGGAGAGAAGGAAGAAAAGAAAGAUCGAAAGAGAGGUAGGGAAGAAACAGAAGGAAU
rnacentral:lncRNA from 11 species